rnacentral:rRNA from 1 species
UGAAUUGACGGGACCCGCACAAGCGGUGGAUGAUGUGGUUUAAUUCGAUGCAACGCGAAAAACCUUACCCACCUUUGACAUGUACGGAAUCCUUUAGAGAUAGAGGAGUGCUCGAAAGAGAGCCGUAACACAGGUGCUGCAUGGCUGUCGUCAGCUCGUGUCGUGAGAUGUUGGGUUAAGUCCCGCAACGAGCGCAACCCUUGCCAUUAGUUGCUACGAAAGGGCACUCUAAUGGGACUGCCGGUGACAAACCGGAGGAAGGUGGGGAUGACGUCAAGUCCUCAUGGCCCUUAUAGGUGGGGCUACACACGUCAUACAAUGGCUGGUACAGAGGGUUGCCAACCCGCGAGGGGGAGCUAAUCCCAUAAAGCCAGUCGUAGUCCGGAUCGCAGUCUGCAACUCGACUACGUGAAGUCGGAAUCGCUAGUAAUCGUGGAUCAGAAUGUCACGGUGAAUACGUUCCCGGGUCUU